rnacentral:rRNA from 1 species
AGUGGCGGACGGGUGAGUAACGCGUAGGAAUCUACCCAUAAGCGGGGGAUAGCCCGAGGAAACUCGGAUUAAUACCACAUAUUUUUUACGAAACAAAGGUGGCCUCUCCUUGGAUGCUGCCACUUAUGGAUGAGCCUGCGUCGGAUUAGCUUGUUGGUGGGGUAAUGGCCCACCAAGGCGAUGAUCCAUAGCUGUUCUGAGAGGAAGAUCAGCCACACUGGGACUGAGACACGGCCCAGACUCCUACGGGAGGCAGCAGUGGGGAAUAUUGGACAAUGGGCGAAAGCCUGAUCCAGCAAUGCCGCGUGUGUGAAGAAGGCCCGCGGGUCGUAAAGCACUUUCAGUGGUGAGAAAGGGUAGUGGGGUUAAUANCCCCUCUACUUGAUGUUAGCCACAAAAGAAGCACCGGCUAACUCCGUGCCAGCAGCCGCGGUAAUACGGAGGGUGCGAGCGU